AACCCACGGUGAGGGCACCAUCUCAACAAGUCUUUGUACCUUUCCCAUGCAUCAUAUAAAGUCUCUAAAUCGCUAUGCACAAAGGAGGAGAUAUCAUUCCUCAACUU
rfam:Gossypium raimondii chromosome 2, whole genome shotgun sequence.